rnacentral:rRNA from 1 species
GAUCAUGGCUCAGAACGAACGCUGGCGGCGUGCUUAACACAUGCAAGUCGAACGUGAAAGGCUUCGGCCGAGUAAAGUGGCGCACGGGUGAGUAACGCGUGGGUAAUCUGCCCUUGGGCGGGGGAUAACCUCUCGAAAGGGGGGCUAAUACCGCAUGAGACCACGGCUUCUCGGGGCUGUGGGAAAAGGUGGGUCGCAAGGCCUGCCACCUGAGGAUGAGCCCGCGUACCAUUAGGUUGUUGGUGGGGUAAUGGCCUACCAAGCCGAAGAUGGUUAGCUGGUCUGAGAGGACGAUCAGCCACACUGGGACUGAGACACGGCCCAGACUCCUACGGGAGGCAGCAGUGGGGAAUAUUGCGCAAUGGGGGAAACCCUGACGCAGCAACGCCGCGUGUGUGAAGAAGGCCUUCGGGUCGUAAAGCACUGUUGGGAGGAACGAGCCGCUCGUGGGGAAUAUCUGCGAGCCCGACGGUACCUCCUGAGGAAGCACCGGCUAACUCCGUG